rnacentral:lncRNA from 1 species
AUAUUUAAGUGAUAUAUGUAAGUUAAACUCAUUUUGUUAACAUAUUAUGCUUACACAAGUAUAAUUAUGUGACAUGUACAUACAAUUCUGAUACUAAAAGGGUUUUAUAUAUAUAUAUAUAUAAACCUAAAUUUUGAUUUUAUGAACCAUGUGAGCUCCUGCGAUUAUUUUUUUCAUGUUCUUCUUCAAAAAAAAAGUAAAGACAAAAAAAUACUUCAAAAAAGAUUAAUCUAAUUUUUACAUCCUUAGUGUAUUUUAAAAAAUUAUUUUACCUUUCUGACUCCUCUAUUAAAAUAAAUUUUUUAAAUAAGAGUAUUAUUAGUUUUUAUCUUUGAAUGUUUAAUGAGAGAGUAAAAAUUAUAUUGUUGAAAAGUAAUAAGAUUUGAACAAAUGCAUGACUUUAUAGAGAGAAGGGAGGUAUUGAUAAAAAAAAUCGGAUUUAAGAAUAAAAAAUUUGAAUAAAUCAUAACAUCGUAUUUUAGUAAUGUUGGAUAUUUUAUUGGUAUUUUAGUAACUUUAGGUUUAAUUCAUAACCUUUGGAUUUGUAAUAAUAGGAUUAUUACAAAUUCAACCAAUUUAAUAGAUUAUAAAUCAAUCGGCUUACAUAUCGUACCUCAAAGGGAGUUAACAAACACUAUAUUAGUGGGCUUACAUAUCGUACCUCAAAGGGAGUUAACAAGUACCAUAUUAGUGGGCCCACAAGAUUUGUGAUCCAAUCCGACAUUCUUAUCUCCAAAAUAAAUAUGCCCUUAAGACUUUAGACAAUCAAUGAUUAACUCACAUUAAAAUCUAAUUUUAUUUAAUUAAUUAAAAUGAUCCAUUACAAAAAAAUGGAUAAUAGACUACUUGUAAAAUUAGUAAAUAGAAUUGCACUCCAGCGAGUGUACAAACUAUAUUUUUAAUUAAUUAGCCUAUGGGAUUUAUUGUUUAAGAGGCUUAUAACACACCCAAAAUGAUGGGGACGCAACAGUAUAGUAUUGCAUGAACAACUACCGAAUUCAAUUUUGUUCACUCAUUUAAUAGGUGGUUGAAUAUUGUCCCGACAUAUGAUUGACCAAAAUAACGAGACCUACUUUGAAUGAGAUCCAAAGCAAUAGAUCUUACUUUUUAAACCAAUCAUAUAUGAAAGUAUUAUUCAUUAACGAGUUUUCCUUUUUUCUAGUAGGCACGGUAUAAAUAAAAAAAUAAAAGAAUAAAACUUAGGUUUCGUUUGGUAAUGCUUAAAAAUCAAGUUUUUUUUAAACUUGCUACAAAAAAGGCUAAAAUUUUUUUGUUUUUUUUGCUUUUGUGACUUUACUUUAACUAAAACUAAGUAAAAAAGCAAAAAUAAAAAAAUAAAAAAAUCAACUCUAAUUAAUUUUUUUGCUUAUUUUAACCAAAAAAAUUAAAAAAUCUGGUGCCAAACGAAGCCUUAUGCGAUUAAAACACGAUAAUAUCACAUUAAAUAUAAAUAUAAAAUAUAAAUACCUAUAUUUAAUGUGUUAAAAAUAUAAAUUCAUGUCACCGUCGAUUUACGAGUCCACAGACCAAGAAGAAGAGGACGAAGAAGAUUGUUGAACGUACAAAGAAUUACAUCUUCAAGGAGCUAAAGCAGGUCCACCGACAUCUGAAUCUCCAGCAAGGCCAGGGGUCAUCAUGAAAGUUUAAUAGUUCUGGAAGUUGGCUUGGGAAGGUUUUCUAGGGUUUUGGCUAAUUUUUUUUCCCCCUUUCAUUUGAAUUAGAUUGUAAGUACUUGUGCUUCAUGAGGAAUGCAUAUGCUGGGAUUGGUCCGUAUGGCCUAAUUGGAUGCCAAUUUAACUGGGGUUUAGAUUCUUGCUCUGUUUGUAUGGCUUGUUCCCCAUUUUCUUUCUAAUUUUCAAUUAGAUUUGAGUUUUGCUUGAAGAAAGAUGGUUUUGCGUGUGGUUUUGAGGCUGUUGUCUGUGACCCACUUGUGUGGCCUACUAAUGAUGCAUUCUACCUGGUUUUAAAUGUCUGCUCUGUUUGUAUUGCUUGUUCCAAAUUGUUUUCUGUUUCCACAAUUCUAACUGAGAAAUAAAAAAAAAUACGGAUUGCUUAAUCAAUUCUAUCGAUCUAAACAUUCAAGGAAUGAACAAUUCAUUGAUUGAUACUUGCAGGAUAUAUGAAUUAUUAGUACGAAAGCAUUGGACUUUUUCUCCUCUUUCUGGACAGGGAGUCAUUUCCUUAAUUCACGCUAGAAUUAGUGCCCCCCCAAUCUGUUACUAUCAUUUGUAAGCCAAGUCUCUCAAAACGUGAAAAAGAAUUCAGUUUACACAGACAUUUCAAAGUAGAUCAAAAUUGUGUUCUAGAGAGAGAUACAGCUGAUGGCGAAAUUCGACGGCCUCCUUCUGCACAUCUCCGUCAUAUCGAGCGCUCUUGAUGAUGACUUCUUCUACGGCGCUGGCGAGGGACUUUCCGACGUCGGAGGGGAACCUGACUAUGAGAGCUCCGGCUCCGAUUCUCUUUGCCUCCUCACUCAUUUCCUUCGAUUUUUAUUUUGAUU